UACGUAGGGUGCGAGCGUUAAUCGGAAUUACUGGGCGUAAAGCGUGCGCAGGCGGUGAUGUAAGACCGAUGUGAAAUCCCCGGGCUUAACCUGGGAACUGCAUUGGUGACUGCAUUGCUGGAGUAUGGCAGAGGGGGGUGGAAUCCACGUGUAGCAGUGAAAUGCGUAGAGAUGUGGAGGAACACCGAUGGCGAAGGCAGCCCCCUGGGCUGAGAUUGACGCUCAGGCACGAAGCGUGGGAGC
rnacentral:rRNA from 1 species